rnacentral:rRNA from 1 species
AGCGUACACGGUGGAUGCCCUGGCAGUCAGAGGCGAUGAAGGACGUGCUAAUCUGCGAUAAGCGUCGGUAAGGUGAUAUGAACCGUUAUAACCGGCGAUUUCCGAAUGGGGAAACCCAGUGUGUUUCGACACACUAUCAUUAACUGAAUCCAUAGGUUAAUGAGGCGAACCGGGGGAACUGAAACAUCUAAGUACCCCGAGGAAAAGAAAUCAACCGAGAUUCCCCCAGUAGCGGCGAGCGAACGGGGAGCAGCCCAGAGCCUGAAUCAGUGUGUGUGUUAGUGGAAGCGUCUGGAAAGGCGCGCGAUACAGGGUGACAGCCCCGUACACAAAAAUGCACAUGCUGUGAGCUCGAUGAGUAGGGCGGGACACGUGGUAUCCUGUCUGAAUAUGGGGGGACCAUCCUCCAAGGCUAAAUACUCCUGACUGACCGAUAGUGAACCAGUACCGUGAGGGAAAGGCGAAAAGAACCCCGGCGAGGGGAGUGAAAAAGAACCUGAAACCGUGUACGUACAAGCAGUGGGAGCACGCUUAGGCGUGUGACUGCGUACCUUUUGUAUAAUGGGUCAGCGACUUAUAUUCUGUAGCAAGGUUAACCGAAUAGGGGAGCCGAAGGGAAACCGAGUCUUAACUGGGCGUUAAGUUGCAGGGUAUAGACCCGAAACCCGGUGAUCUAGCCAUGGGCAGGUUGAAGGUUGGGUAACACUAACUGGAGGACCGAACCGACUAAUGUUGAAAAAUUAGCGGAUGACUUGUGGCUGGGGGUGAAAGGCCAAUCAAACCGGGAGAUAGCUGGUUCUCCCCGAAAGCUAUUUAGGUAGCGCCUCGUGAACUCAUCUCCGGGGGUAGAGCACUGUUUCGGCAAGGGGGUCAUCCCGACUUACCAACCCGAUGCAAACUGCGAAUACCGGAGAAUGUUAUCACGGGAGACACACGGCGGGUGCUAACGUCCGUCGUGAAGAGGGAAACAACCCAGACCGCCAGCUAAGGUCCCAAAGUCAUGGUUAAGUGGGAAACGAUGUGGGAAGGCCCAGACAGCCAGGAUGUUGGCUUAGAAGCAGCCAUCAUUUAAAGAAAGCGUAAUAGCUCACUGGUCGAGUCGGCCUGCGCGGAAGAUGUAACGGGGCUAAACCAUGCACCGAAGCUGCGGCAGCGACGCUUAUGCGUUGUUGGGUAGGGGAGCGUUCUGUAAGCCUGUGAAGGUGUACUGUGAGGUAUGCUGGAGGUAUCAGAAGUGCGAAUGCUGACAUAAGUAACGAUAAAGCGGGUGAAAAGCCCGCUCGCCGGAAGACCAAGGGUUCCUGUCCAACGUUAAUCGGGGCAGGGUGAGUCGACCCCUAAGGCGAGGCCGAAAGGCGUAGUCGAUGGGAAACAGGUUAAUAUUCCUGUACUUGGUGUUACUGCGAAGGGGGGACGGAGAAGGCUAUGUUGGCCGGGCGACGGUUGUCCCGGUUUAAGCGUGUAGGCUGGUUUUCCAGGCAAAUCCGGAAAAUCAAGGCUGAGGCGUGAUGACGAGGCACUACGGUGCUGAAGCAACAAAUGCCCUGCUUCCAGGAAAAGCCUCUAAGCAUCAGGUAACAUCAAAUCGUACCCCAAACCGACACAGGUGGUCAGGUAGAGAAUACCAAGGCGCUUGAGAGAACUCGGGUGAAGGAACUAGGCAAAAUGGUGCCGUAACUUCGGGAGAAGGCACGCUGAUAUGUAGGUGAAGCGACUUGCUCGUGGAGCUGAAAUCAGUCGAAGAUACCAGCUGGCUGCAACUGUUUAUUAAAAACACAGCACUGUGCAAACACGAAAGUGGACGUAUACGGUGUGACGCCUGCCCGGUGCCGGAAGGUUAAUUGAUGGGGUCAGCGCAAGCGAAGCUCUUGAUCGAAGCCCCGGUAAACGGCGGCCGUAACUAUAACGGUCCUAAGGUAGCGAAAUUCCUUGUCGGGUAAGUUCCGACCUGCACGAAUGGCGUAAUGAUGGCCAGGCUGUCUCCACCCGAGACUCAGUGAAAUUGAACUCGCUGUGAAGAUGCAGUGUACCCGCGGCAAGACGGAAAGACCCCGUGAACCUUUACUAUAGCUUGACACUGAACAUUGAGCCUUGAUGUGUAGGAUAGGUGGGAGGCUUUGAAGUGUGGACGCCAGUCUGCAUGGAGCCGACCUUGAAAUACCACCCUUUAAUGUUUGAUGUUCUAACGUUGACCCGUAAUCCGGGUUGCGGACAGUGUCUGGUGGGUAGUUUGACUGGGGCGGUCUCCUCCUAAAGAGUAACGGAGGAGCACGAAGGUUGGCUAAUCCUGGUCGGACAUCAGGAGGUUAGUGCAAUGGCAUAAGCCAGCUUGACUGCGAGCGUGACGGCGCGAGCAGGUGCGAAAGCAGGUCAUAGUGAUCCGGUGGUUCUGAAUGGAAGGGCCAUCGCUCAACGGAUAAAAGGUACUCCGGGGAUAACAGGCUGAUACCGCCCAAGAGUUCAUAUCGACGGCGGUGUUUGGCACCUCGAUGUCGGCUCAUCACAUCCUGGGGCUGAAGUAGGUCCCAAGGGUAUGGCUGUUCGCCAUUUAAAGUGGUACGCGAGCUGGGUUUAGAACGUCGUGAGACAGUUCGGUCCCUAUCUGCCGUGGGCGCUGGAGAACUGAGGGGGGCUGCUCCUAGUACGAGAGGACCGGAGUGGACGCAUCACUGGUGUUCGGGUUGUCAUGCCAAUGGCACUGCCCGGUAGCUAAAUGCGGAAGAGAUAAGUGCUGAAAGCAUCUAAGCACGAAACUUGCCCCGAGAUGAGUUCU